CCGCCCUGUCCCGUGGCGCCUCAGCUGCCGCCUCCCCUCGCCCACCUCGACGGCCAUGUUCGUGGGUGGGGAGAGGCCAGCCCGACCCUCGGACCGCAGGACUUGCGGGCUACUUUAGGGUUACCAACGAUCCUGAUCUGCCCAAGGCUGAGGAGUUUCCCAGGAUAUGGGACUUUCACUGCUAAAACCAGGAUAGUCCCACGCAAAGCAUCAUGACUGAUCACCCUACUUGCUGCCAUGAGACUACCACCAUCCUCGAGGAUGAUAGAUCCCAAGGAGAGAGUGCAGUCAACAUCCAGCCCCAUCAGCAUGUGACUUAUCCAGCCCCAAUCCAGUCACCAGAUAAUAGCAAAUGCAUGAGUUAAUUCAGGCGAGACCAUCAGAACGAUCUAGCUGAACUUAUCUCAAAUUGCUGUCCUCUGUUGGAGUUUUUCUGCACAUAAAAAAUAAAAUUGCCAUCCUACAUAACUGUAAA
rnacentral:lncRNA from 1 species